GAAAAGCAAGAAUAAUUUACUUUGUUUUUCUUUUAUUAUUUUUACAGGCAACAGUGAUAAAUAGGAUUUGUGCAAUGGUAGUAACAAAUCAUCAUCUGUUGAAAAUGGCACUCAAGCAAAAUUGUGCAUUGAUUCUGAUCUUAAUAACAUCAGCCACAAUAUAGAAAACCCUCUAUAGUUUUCUACUUAUUCUCCGGACAAGUUAUGGAUGGCGAAUGUGAAAAGGUUACAAUUUACAAUUUGGUGGCUUAUUAAGAGAAUCAGUUAUCAAUGAAAUUAAUUUUGAUGAUGUUAAUUCACAAUGCCAAACGACAAACUCCAUUUGUCCAAAGAAUAAGCACAUCCAAUGCGAUAUACACUCCUCUGACAUGGCAGCAGGGAGAUCCAAGAAGAUCAUAUACCACAGAUAUUGAAAUGAGCAAAAUCUGAACCUGACUUUACGAUGACUAACUAACAAUUAUUUUUCAUAUUUAUACUUUUUACUAUAUUUAUAUUUAUACUAUUUAUACUUAUGUUAUUUUCAACUAUUUAUAGUCACCAGCUGUACCUGCAAGUUCCAAUGGUGGUACUGGAAUAAUAACAAAAGAACAUACAAGAGCAUCUCUUUUAUCCGAGCUUUUGUCAAUCAUAGGAGAUACAAACUACAACUACGACGACUAACAACUAUAUGAUAACCAAUCUAUUGAGGGUGAUGAUACUGUUACUACAGUUUCUCCAUUAUACAAACAAAUGCUGAAUGUUUUUGUGGAGAAAGCUGCUAUUGAAGAUGCAAUUUACUAUCUUGCUGAAGGAUUGCGAAGCAGCACAAUUGAUUUGGAUGCUUUCCUCAAACAAAUCAGGCACCUAUCGAGAAGACAAUUCAUACUCAGGGCACUCGUGUCUGCACUUUGAAAGCAGAAAGCUGGAUUAGCAAAUUAAAAAAAAAGAAAGAUCCUUUCACAUUAUUAUUUUAUUUUUCAAAAUGUAUCAAAGUUUGCUGAUACACGUCUAUAGUAUCAUCCUCAUCCAUCUGUAUAACAUAGAAGUCCAGUUCAUGAACAGGUUGACUGACCAUCAAACCAGAAUCGCACUGCAGUAAUUGCAAGUUGUCUGCAAUUGCUUGUUCAUAAAGUGUUUGGGAUAAAUUAAAUCCUGCAUACCUUUCAGACUUCUGACAUAAGCAACAUAGUGACGUAACACAUUACUUGCAAUGGGUUCUUCAUAUGCUAUUACACCAGUUAAAAUAAACUUUCCAGUAGAAAAUGUUAGAACAGCUGCUGCAAGCAUUGGAGCACCAAGAGACCGCUGUGAGUCAGGUGCUGCGACAAGUUGACCUCCACUGAUCUCAACUCAUUCCUACUGAGCAUCUCCAAUUGUAUCAUCCUCCUUGAGGAUGUCAUCCUGGUGAGGAUGUCUACGAAUCUGCUUGUAUCAAUGUAGAUCCCUUCAGCGAGACACCACUUGAUAUAGAUGUCACUUAUACAGUUUUUUCUACUGCACCUUACAAAUACUUACAUACAAAUAGCAGUCAACCCAGAAGGUACGAUAAAAGCUAGAUGUUGUGUUGAUGUUCUUAUGCAACAUGAACUGUACAGUUAAUAAAUUCACAAUACAGGUGCUUGAGCAUCCGACAAAACAAAUAAAUCAUAGAAAAAAAACAUUGAAGAUAAGCUUAUAAGCAGAAUCCCAGAACCUUUCGAAAGUGUUACACCUGAUCCAUCCUAAUAAUUCAGCAGACAAACUUUAUCAAUUAGAGUUGGAAAACUAUCAAGAAUAUGCACCUUAUUUUUUAACAUUUAUAAUUUGUAAAUUUUAUAUACUUGUCGUUCCUCAUCUUGGAUGUUAGUCUGUAAGCUUUGGCCUGUUGGAAUAAGGAGGAAGAAUAUUUCUGUACCUAAAACUAUUUUAUAAGCAUUUGAAUUCCAUACAUACAAAAAUGCAAAAACAAAACAAAAUAUAAGUAAAAACAAAACUAUAAGUAAAUACCAUACUAAAUAAAAAACGUAAUAUAUAAA
rnacentral:lncRNA from 12 species